AAUCAGUUAAACUAUAAAACCGUUUAUUUGCCUUCUUUAGGGGUCCGUCUGGGGUAACAUUGCGCAUAUUAUGCUAGUUUGAUGUGUUGUCGUGCGUGAGGUAUUGGAUGUGGCACUUUCUUUUGCACGCAUAUUGAGGUUCACUGUCAUUCAAGGAUCCAAUUUCAGAACAAUCGACUAUUUUGUCAUGAAACCUGAGAGGAAUGCCUCCCUUGCAUGCGGGUAUUAUUCGGAACAGUUGGCUGUGCUGCGUGCUUACCACAACUGCACGAACCAACCUAGUCUCAUUUGUCUCCAGCGAAGCUGUGAAAAGACUCUGUGGUUAGCCUUGGUUUUGUUACAAACCGGUUAAUAAGAUGGAGUUACGAAACUUAGCGAUUCUUUUGGUUCUUUCUGUGGUAAUUUAUUUGGCGAAUGCUCAGGACGGUAAGCGAACACUUUACAUUCCUUCAUUCGUUCAUGCUGACAAAAUGUGAUUUAGUAUAGUCAUGUAUUAUAUGAGAUCCUAAAUAUUAUGAAUUGUCUUUUUGCGCCAUUACGCGUUCCUGCCUGAAUUGCAUUUUGAAUAAUAUGCGCGUAAAUACUAGAGCAGACGAAUAUUAUUCUCGACGUGAUUUGCGUUUGCUGUUAUUUUUUGUCAAUGGUAUUCACUUCAUACUCGCUCUUCGUGCUAGAAUUGGUCCAUGAUUAGAUAAUCGAUAUUAAAUCUGAGGGACAAUUGUAUGUAAAGUUGAAUGUAUAUAAGCGACUAACACCCAUUUUACUGGUUGGCAAACAAACGUUUGAAAUAAGGAAUACAUCGUAUCUAUAGAUUUACAUUAAUAUAUAUUUCAUAUUGAGGCCUACUUAUUAUUUUUCUUUUUAAAGCUGUAGUGUCGACACGCACAAAGGAAUGUCUUGAUAAAGCGUAAAAACAUUCAUUAUUCCUGCAUUUACUGAGUAUUGAACGUGCAACAGACUGGACUAAUGCAAGUGCCAUUGUCUGAAUCGUCGAAAAUGUCUGAAAAUGGCCGAAGCAUUUGUCUAGUCGCCUACCAUUCUUUGCUGUACUUUUAUAAUUGCAAAGAGAUUUAGUGGAAAUGAUAACUGAAUUGCAUGAAUCUACAAAAUUUAGAAAAUAUUUAUGCGCCUAUUCGCCACGAUAACAAAGACCGCAGUGUCUCUGACCCCAAGAAGGAGUUGUUGGUACAAUGCGGGUCGCAUUUCAAUUUUCUGACUUGCGCCUGUGUUCAGGCUUUUUGCGCAAAAUCAUUAAUAAUACAAGAUGCGUGCAUCACAGUAUUUUUGUUUGGUUUAACUUAUAAAUAAAUAUAGUUACAUCUCCGCAACGGUUAGCGUGACUUGUGUGCGCAAAUAUUGAUCAUCUACAGUAAGCGCUGACGUGCAUAUCUUGAAUACAAUAGAUUAUUGUACUCUUAAAUUACUACACACUAGUGUAGUAUAUAGAAAUAUUACAUGGUUUGCGUUUUACUAGGGACAAUGUUUGCGCAAAAUAUUCUUUCAUGGAAUAUUUCUAAAAUAGACCAAGAAUUGGUAUACUACAAUAUGCGCAAAUAUCCAAACGUAAAUGUGUGAUAAAUAACUCAUUGCAACAGUCUUCUUUGCCCCACCCCCGGUGUUCACUUUGGGCUUCAUAAUUUUAAACACGCUCAAUGUUUAUAAACGGAGUGCUAUGAGCGUAAAUUUUAAAGCUAUGUUUACAAAUAGUACGUAUACAAUUUUAGCCGACCGAUUCGGCUUUGCACGCACAGACUAUAGUGAAUAUUAAAUAUAUCUGUAGAACAAUGGAGCGAAGAUUAUAGAAUAGUUCUUAUAUCAUAGAACUGGCCGGGGGGUUGUAUUUUAGAAAGCAUUAAAAACUCGGCUUUCUGAAAUCGUUAAAUCGUAUUAGUCAUCCUUUCAAGUAAAGGAAUAUAAUUUCUUUUCUGUCAUAAAGGUUGCCUUUCGUGCAUCCUCUUGUAUUUCCUGACACAGAUCCGGACACCGAUCCAAAGAUUAAAUAUUUCGCGCUAAUGAAGAAAAGACUCAAAACGCCCCAUGCAAGUCACCUGUAUACUUCAAUUUAUAUAUCGCAUUUGCAAGUAUGCUUUUAGAGUCAAUUUUAAAUUUGACGUUAACACUUUAUAAAUACCAGACUUGGUCAAUUGACUUGAGUCAAUCAAACUUGGUCAAUCCAAAAAAACUGGAGGCUUUUGUUUGAACCGGCGCUACUUUUUAAGACAAUAUGAAAUAAUUUUGACACGUUCUCUGGUCGUACCCUUUUAUUUAUACUUUUAUUUAUUUUACUAACAGGCAGCAGCCUUCGACAGGUGAAGCUAUAUAUUUAAUUUAAUACUGAAUUUUCGAAAUCUCGGUUAUGCAGUUUUCAAACUUCCCAGUCAUGGGUGAAGCAAUAAUCGCUUAGGGUGAAGCAAUAAUCGCUUCACAAUUAAUAACAUUAUUGCCUCACUUGUCGAAGACUGCAGACUGGAAGUCGAAAGUUUACGAUCAGGAAACGUCUCAAAAUUGCUACGUAUAAUCUUGGUCACUCUUCUGGCAUUUUAAAAUAAUAUGUUCUAAAUUUUAUUUUGCGCAUGAAUUGCUCUCUUUGUAAACCGCGCAUGUUUAAGUGCGCAACAUUUAGGGGAUAUUUUUGCCACAGUGGCCUUUCACGCAUAAGUUAUCACACGUUUUGACUGAUUUUAUGCAUGAUUGAUUUCUUACAUACUUUUUACAAAAACUUUAAAAAUUAUGCGUGGAAUGCCGCUAUGCCUAUGGCAAAAAUGUACUCAAAUUGUCUGUAUGGUACCUUAAUAUCAUGCUAGCAUAAAGUUUUCACAAAUUUUGCGGAAUUUGCAGUAUUUUUUAUACUGUAUAGUCUGCCAUUUAUGAAUUAGUAUUUAUGAAUUUACCCAGAAACGCUGUAUUUUGACUUGAGUAAAGCAAUGCUGCACCUACACAGACACUCGCAAAUUUAUCUACAAUCGAAAAACUCCAAGUAAUAAAUUAGGUCAUAAAAUUGAGUAAUUUUACUCAAUGUUUUGAGACACGGGCAUGUGAGUGCGUUAUUUCAUUCGAGUUUUUGGUAUUUUGCGCAAUGAAAGAAUUGUUUUACUAACAUAUCUCUCUCUUUUUUCCUCCAUUUUAGGUUCUGGAAUAACUGUAAGUAUAUAUUUAGCUAUACUGUCUAGAUUUGUGUGCAAGAUUUAUCAUAAUAUAUACCGUAUACUGUAUAUUUAGAAUAAAAUUGCAUUUAUGUAAAGUUAUUGUAAGUUAAAUUUCUGUACAAUAUGACUAAUGCAGAACAUUUAAAUUUUUUAGCCGGGAUUUAAAGGCGACAAAGGAGAUCAAGGAGAGCCAGUAAGUGCACCAAAAAUUUAGUUUUCAUGUGGUUAUAUAUAUCAAAUAAACUGCUUAUACAGG
rnacentral:lncRNA from 1 species